GAGUUUGAUCCUGGCUCAGGACGAACGCUGGCGGCGUGCCUGAUACAUGCAAGUCGAGCGAACCAAUUGAAAGCCUAGCUUUCAUGAGGUUAGCGGCGGACGGGUGAGUAACACGUGGGUAACCUGCUCUAUAGACUGGGAUAACUCGCGGAAACGCGUGCUAAUACCGGAUAACACAUCAAAGUGCAUGCUUUGAUGUUGAAAGAUGGUUCUGCUAUCACUAUAGGAUGGGCCCGCGGCGCAUUAGCUUGUUGGUGGGGUAACGGCCUACCAAGGCGACGAUGCGUAGCCGACCUGAGAGGGUGAUCGGCCACACUGGGACUGAGACACGGCCCAGACUCCUACGGGAGGCAGCAGUAGGGAAUCUUCCACAAUGGGCGAAAGCCUGAUGGAGCAACGCCGCGUGAGCGAAGAAGGUCUUCGGAUCGUAAAGCUCUGUUGUAAGGGAAGAACAAGUGCAGUAGUAACUGGCUGCACCUUGACGGUACCUUACUAGAAAGCCACGGCUAACUACGUGCCAGCAGCCGCGGUAAUACGUAGGUGGCAAGCGUUGUCCGGAAUUAUUGGGCGUAAAGCGCGCGCAGGCGGUCUCUUAAGUCUGAUGUGAAAGCCCCCGGCUUAACCGGGGAGGGUCAUUGGAAACUGGGAGACUUGAGUGCAGGAGAGGGAAGCGGAAUUCCAUGUGUAGCGGUGAAAUGCGUAGAGAUAUGGAGGAACACCAGUGGCGAAGGCGGCUUCCUGGCCUGUAACUGACGCUGAGGCGCGAAAGCGUGGGGAGCAAACAGGAUUAGAUACCCUGGUAGUCCACGCCGUAAACGAUGAGUGCUAAGUGUUAGGGGGGUUUCACCCCUUAGUGCUGCAGCUAACGCAUUAAGCACUCCGCCUGGGGAGUA
rnacentral:rRNA from 1 species